CCUACGGGAGGCAGCAGUGAGGAAUAUUGGUCAAUGGCCGGAAGGCUGAACCAGCCAAGCCGCGUGAAGGACGAAGGUGCCAAGCAUUGUAAACUUCUUUUGUCAAGGGACAAAAUCAGGCUCGAGAGCCUGACCGAGGGUACUUUACGAAAAAGCAUCGGCUAACUCCGUGCCAGCCGCCGCGGUAAUACGGAGGAGGCGAGCGUUAUCCGGAUUUAUUGGGUUUAGAGGGUGCGUAGGCGGGCUGUUAAGUCCGCGGUAAAAGCCCGGGGCCCAACCCCUGAGAGCCGUUGAAACUGGCUGUCUUGAGAUGUCGAGAGGUAUGCGGAAUGCGCAGUGUAGCGGUGAAAUGCUUAGAUAUUGCGAAGAACUCCGAUUGCGAAGGCAGCAUACCGGCGGCGAUCUGACGCUGAGGCACGAAAGCGUGGGUAUCGAACAGGAUUAGAUACCCUUGUAGUC
rnacentral:rRNA from 1 species